AACUCUGUUGCGCGCAACUUGUUUGAUGGUCUGCGGAUUUUAGAAAAGAACCGCAAUAACAUAAUAACCAGCUCUGAAACAAUAUAAAAUAACUUCCGUUAACUUUUUAGGGAUCAAAACGGUGGUUCCGUUCAGUCUUCGACGAUAUCGACAGUGCUCUCCCACCGAAAGAGAGUCAAAUCAAACUCGACGAAACAUCAGUGACUAAAAAAAGAAAUUAUCUAAUUCUAUAAACAAAACUUCACCAAUCUCUACUAGCGGGAUGCAUUCCAAUAGCGUAAAUACCAACAAUGGCAUCUUCAAAGCGAUAGAUUGGUCCGUUGAUUUGGCUCCGGAAACAGUUGCUGAUUUGGUCAUUCAUCAAAAGCCGUGAAGACGAUAGCCGCCGCCCGCCGGUCUUGGUUACCAGGUAGCGAAGUGGACCACACCGGUCGAUGCGGAACUAUAUUUUCGGGAUGAUUUCGAUUUUGAAGGUGCUCCUGGUGAACAGCUAACUUUUCGAGAAAAUCAAAGACAACAGUUUGAUAAAUUUCUUUACAAAAUAUCCCGCUAUUGUUCGGCAUUUAAAACAGAAAUCGAGCGCAAGCUGUUGUUAGUGAAAGAUUUACGAAAAUAUUCCUGCAGGAUCCUGAAGCAUUCCGCAGUUUCUUGGAGGCUUUCCAAGAUGCAGAGCCUGACCGUUGGUUUUUAUAGCAACCGAUACAUCCAGCAAAAAUUUUGGAUAUCGUAUACAUGUGUAUACAUAUACACCUUUUUCCGCCUGCAGUAAUGCUUGAAUUUAAAAUUUAUCACAUAACCGGGUGCAACCAUCUUCAAAGGCAGAAGUAAGAAAAAAGAGCUUAAAUUAAAGUCAGUAAGAUGUAAUGAAAGUUAAACACUGAUGCAUGCGCUAGGACGAGUUUUUAAUUCAAAAUUUGAGCAAACGAGCGGAGGAACAGCCGCGGAAAAGUUCCACCAUUUGCGGAGGACCUACCCGAAUGUUUUAUUUCUCAGCCGGGAUCGAUGAUUCCAUUGCUACCUUCUAAAUACGUCGUUCGAUUUACCGAUAUCGCAAACAUCACCGGAGCGGCGGACGCGCUUAGUCUAGCGGAUAAGAUUAUGAGUGAGUACCGUGAAGAUUCAAUGGCCAACCAUGGGUUAAAUAUCGUCAUACGAGGUAUGAUGGUAUCCAAUCGAAAAACCGCCGGCGGUUGACACCAGAUUCAAAAGGAGAAGACCUUCAACAAACCUAGUUUAUUACCGAGCACAAACAUUAUCUGAACAUAAUUGAGGAGACAAAAGGAUGGACAAUAAAAUGUACAUAAUACACAACAUAUAAUCAUUUUGAGUCGUUCCUAUUGUGAUUUAGAUCAUACUGAUUGAAUGAUUCGUACAGUAUCAUAACUGCCAAUACAGUAAAAUAUUUAGUUCGACAACGUAAGUUUCAAUUGCUGAAAUCGAGAUCCAUUUAUGUUUAAAACGGCCCGCCAAAUCAGGUGUUCUAAACUAUUAUUAUUUCAAAUUCAACAAACCAGCGCCAACGUUUACGAUAGUUUCGUAGUUUUACUACUCACUACCCUGAUUUUCAGCAGCAUUUACUAUAAAAAAUCGUAAGAACAAAUCAAAGCAAACAGCGUAAAGAAGUUGGGCUGCGAUUAUUUUUUCGAAAACUACUGGAAAAAAAGUUGCUAAGUAGCCGAGAAGUAACAAUGUUCGGGCUUUUUUCAUUCCAUUUUUUCUUCCCGAAGAGGUUCCACCUAUUCCUGUUUUGUUAGAAAUUAGUGAAGAACCACCUUCAAUAACUCAUCGCCAGCGUUUGAACCGCAAGGUAGCUAUUUCGUGUGCGAUAUUACGAUCGUAAUAAUUCCAAAAAUUCAGUAGGACCUCAAUCCGGAGACUCAAACAUACAGUGAAUACGCGAGUGUCAAGUAUGUAUAUGAAGAGUGUCAGUAGUUUUACUACUCACUACCCUGAUAUUCAGCAGCAUUUACUAUAAAAAAUCGUAAGAACAAAUCAAAGCAAACAGCGUAAAGAAGUUGGGCUGCGAUUAUUUUUUCGAAAACUACAGGAAAAAAAGUUGCUAAGUAGCCGAGAAGUAACAAUUCUCGGGCUUUUUCAUGCCAUUUUUUCUUUCCGAAGAGGUUCCACCUAUUCCUGUUUUGUUAGAAAUUAGUGAAGAACCACCUUCAAUAACUCAUCGCCAGCGUUUGAACCGCAAGGUAGCUAUUUCGUGUGCGAUAUUACGAUCGUAAUAAUUCCAAAAAUUCAGUCAGACCUCAAUCCGGAGACUCAAACAUACAGUGAAUACGCGAGUGUCAACUAGCCGAUGUAAGCUGUUAGAUGCUCCGGAAAUCGACCGACACAUACGCUACCGUCCCAAGCAUAACUGUGUCAGCGUCCAGAAGGUUUUCGUGGAACAUGGGAUGAAAGCGGCCACCCGUCGAAAUAAAAGAUGACUGAAGUUGGAGCUGGAUCGCGCGAAUUGGGGAAUUGGGAUUACUUGAAACAUCCUCAACUGAUGGUACUUUUGUCGGAGACGCAAGCGAACCAGAGUUUUAUGAACGAUGAAGUUCACCGGAUCAUGUUGGUUGGUACCCAGUGUCAUGAAUGUCAUGAAGGCUAUGUUGAACGGAAACGGUAAUGAAUCCCAUUCCAAUUUCGAUUGUGCUUUCACAAAUGUUCUUCAACCAUUACCCGGAUGAAGUACCCCCUACUUUAGCGGACAAAUGCUUGAAUCUCCUAGAACUAGCGAACAGACUGUGCUUGCCGCGAUUGCUGAAUUUGGCUGAAUGUCACGUAAUAGAAGAUCUCACAACGAUCGCUGGAUCGCGCGAAUUGGGUAAGCCAAGUGAUAUGCAUAAAGUCCGUCGACUCGUCGAACCAUUUACUGCGGAUCAAAGCAAGCCUAUGUUUUAUUCGUGAUGAAAUGAAAAUUUGUGACAGUCAUGUGAAUGUGUUUCUCAGGAGUUCUUGGAGCUGCCUCAAAUGAUGGUACUUUUUUGGAGACGCAAGCGAACCAGAAUGUUAAGAACUAUGAAGCUCACGGGUCAUGUUGGUAUCGCGAUAUGAUUUCAUGAAGGCUCUGUUAAACGGGAACCUCAAUGAAUCCCAUGUCAAUUUGAUUGUGCUUCCACAACCACAAAUGUUGAUCGAUCUUUACACGAAUGAAGUACAACCUUUUUCAGCAGACAAAUGCUUGAACAUUCUAGCGAAUAGACUGUGCUUACAACGAUUGCUAAAUUUGACCGAAUGUCAUGUAAUAGAAGAUCUUACGAGGAUGUCGCAGAAUUAAACCAACGAAGCAGUUACUACUAGGUUAUUUAAGGCAGUAAAAUCAAGGCUCCAUAAUGCACAUCAAUUAGAAUCUGUCUGAAUUCUAACAGAAUCUGUAAACCGUCUCCACGGAGUCUAAGCUUACAUGCGGAUACCUGAAACUACAUUUGAGAGCAUCGAUGGGUUCCAGAGCGUUAUAGAAUUAGCUCAAUCGCGAACUGAAUAAUGGGAAGAAAGACGUCAGCAGAUGAUAAUGGACGGCUAUGCUUUGCCGAAGAUAACAGAUAAACAAAGUGAAUAAAAAAGUAUAAGUGUAUAAAAUUGACGACAAUGGAAAAAAAUUAUGAUUUAGUCAAACAUGGAAUAAAACGGCUAAAAACAAAAAGAUUUUUCUUCAUCCAAACAGAAAUCGCCAAAGGUAAGAGACAGUCCCAAAAUUUAGUAGUUAGCUAAUAAGAGCUUUCGAAAAUUAUUUAAAGUGUGAAUCACUAAACCACUCAAAAGUAUGCAAAUGUGGGGCUAAUGGCACAGGAUUCU